rnacentral:rRNA from 1 species
GAUGAACGCUGGCGGCGUGCCUAAUACAUGCAAGUCGAGCGAACGGACGAGAAGCUUGCUUCUCUGAUGUUAGCGGCGGACGGGUGAGUAACACGUGGAUAACCUACCUAUAAGACUGGGAUAACUUCGGGAAACCGUAGCUAAUACCGGAUAAUAUUUUGAACCGCAUGGUUCAAAAGUGAAAGACGGUCUUGCUGUCACUUAUAGAUGGAUCCGCGCUGCAUUAGCUAGUUGGUAAGGUAACGGCUUACCAAGGCAACGAUGCAUAGCCGACCUGAGAGGGUGAUCGGCCACACUGGAACUGAGACACGGUCCAGACUCCUACGGGAGGCAGCAGUAGGGAAUCUUCCGCAAUGGGCGAAAGCGUGACGGAGCAACGCCGCGUGAGUGAUGAAGGUCUUCGGAUCGUAAAACUCUGUUAUUAGGGAAGAACAUAUGUGUAAGUAACUGUGCACAUCUUGACGGCACCUAAUCAGAAAGCCACGGCUAACUACGUG